rnacentral:rRNA from 1 species
UUUUUUAGCACUUUGUCAAAAGCAGGCUCCGAAUUCGCCCUUAGAGUUUGAUCCUGGCUCAGAUUGAACGCUGGCGGUAUGCUUAACACAUGCAAGUCGAGCGGCAGCACAGACUGUAGCAAUACAGUUGGGUGGCGAGUGGCGGACGGGUGAGUAAUACGCGGGAAUCUGUCUUAGAGUGGGGGAUAACUCGAGGAAACUCGAGCUAAUACCGCAUAUCUAGUUUACUAGAAAGGGGGCCUCUGCUUGCAAGCUCUCGCUCUAAGGUGAGCCCGCGUCCGAUUAGCUAGUUGGUAGGGUAAAGGCCUACCAAGGCAAUGAUCGGUAGCUGUUCUGAGAGGAAGAUCAGCCACACUGGGACUGAGACGCGGCCCAGACUCCUACGGGAGGCAGCAGUGGGGAAUAUUGGACAAUGGGGGAAACCCUGAUCCAACAAUACCGCGUGUGUGAAGAAAGCCUGCGGGUUGUAAAGCACUUUUGUUGGGGAGGAAAAGUUAAAAGCUAAUACCUUUUAUCCGGGACGCUACCCAAAGAAAAAGCACCGGCUAAUUCUGGGCCAGCAGCCGCGGUAAUACUGAAGGGGGAAGCGUUUAUCCGGACUUACUGGGUCGUAAGGGGCCGGUUGGGGGUUUCUUAAUUUAAAUGUGUAAACCCUGGGGCUUCCACUUGGGAAACGCUUCAAAACCUGGGGUGAAAUAAAUAAUGGUAGAAGGCAACGGAAUUUCUCAGGAAACCGGGCAAAGCGUUAAAUUUUUUAAAGAACCUCCUCUGGGGAAGGGGAAUUCCCUGGACACUUU